CACAGGUGAUGUGGAGUCAGGCCUCCCUAAACAGGAUCAAGGCACCACCGUGGAGAGAAUGAGCUGCCCGGCCCCUGGCAGGAUGAGACACGCAUCAGAGCUUGUCUGGGCAUGAGAAAUAUGAUCGUAUCAUGAUGCUGGUCUUAUCAAGAGCGCCUUCAUACACUGCCUUUUCCCCUCCAUCAGCAUCUCACCCUCCUCCCAUUCUCCUGAAUGAGCUACGCUGACAACCUACUGUGAAGAAGUUCAGAUUACCAGUUAUCGGGUCUUUCAAACGUCUUGUUUGUCAAAGUUUUGAGUGAAGACAUCAAUUACAAUGAACAAAACGUGAAAGAGAACUUGUAUCCCCAGAGCGCUACUUUUUCCAUAAUCAGUA